rnacentral:rRNA from 1 species
AUUGAACGCUGGCGGCAGGCCUAACACAUGCAAGUCGGACGGUAGCACAGAGGAGCUUGCUCCUCGGGUGACGAGUGGCGGACGGGUGAGUAAUGUCUGGGGAUCUGCCCGAUAGAGGGGGAUAACCACUGGAAACGGUGGCUAAUACCGCAUAACGUCGCAAGACCAAAGAGGGGGACCUUCGGGCCUCUCACUAUCGGAUGAACCCAGAUGGGAAUAGCUUGUAGGCGGGGUAAUGGCCCACCUAGGCGACGAUCCAUAGCUGGUCUGAGAGGAUGACCAGCCACACUGGAACUGAGACACGGUCCAGACUCCUACGGGAGGCAGCAGUGGGGAAUAUUGCACAAUGGGCGCAAGCCUGAUGCAGCCAUGCCGCGUGUAUGAAGAAGGCCUUCGGGUUGUAAAGUACUUUCAGCGGGGAGGAAGGCGGUGAGGUUAAUAACCUUGCCGAUUGACGUUACCCGCAGAAGAAGCACCGGCUAACUCCGUGCCAGCCGCCGCAGUAA